rnacentral:rRNA from 1 species
UACUAUGGCCAUGCCACCCUGAACGUGCCUGAUCUCGUCUGAUCUCGAAAGCUAAGCAGGGUCAGGCCUGGUUAGUACUUGGAUGAGAGACCACCUAGGAAUACCAGGUGCUGUAGGCU